AGAGUUUGAUCCUGGCUCAGAGCGAACGCUGGCGGCAGGCCUAACACAUGCAAGUCGAACGGAUCCUUCGGGAUUAGUGGCGGACGGGUGAGUAACACGUGGGAACGUGCCCUUUGGUUCGGAACAACUCAGGGAAACUUGAGCUAAUACCGGAUGUGCCCUUCGGGGGAAAGAUUUAUCGCCAUUGGAGCGGCCCGCGUCUGAUUAGCUAGUUGGUGGGGUAAAGGCCCACCAAGGCGACGAUCAGUAGCUGGUCUGAGAGGAUGAUCAGCCACAUUGGGACUGAGACACGGCCCAAACUCCUACGGGAGGCAGCAGUGGGGAAUCUUGCGCAAUGGGCGAAAGCCUGACGCAGCCAUGCCGCGUGAAUGAUGAAGGUCUUAGGAUUGUAAAAUUCUUUCACCGGGGACGAUAAUGACGGUACCCGGAGAAGAAGCCCCGGCUAACUUCGUGCCAGCAGCCGCGGUAAUACGAAGGGGGCUAGCGUUGCUCGGAAUUACUGGGCGUAAAGGGAGCGUAGGCGGACUGUUAAGUUAGAGGUGAAAGCCCAGGGCUCAACCUUGGAAUUGCCUUUGAUACUGGCAGUCUUGAGUACGGAGGAGGUAUGUGGAACUCCGAGUGUAGAGGUGAAAUUCGUAGAUAUUCGGAAGAACACCAGUGGCGAAGGCGACAUACUGGUCCGUUACUGACGCUGAGGCU
rnacentral:rRNA from 1 species